AGCUCCAAUAGCGUAUAUUAAAGUUGUUGCAGUUAAAAAGCUCGUAGUUGGAUUUCGGAACGGGCCAGUUGGUCCGCCGCAAGGUGAGUUACUGACUGGUCUGUUCUUCUUCGCAAAGACUGCGUGUGCUCUUCAUUGAGUGGGCGUAGGAUUUACGACGUUUACUUUGAAAAAAUUAGAGUGUUCAAAGCAGGCAAUCGCUUGAAUACAUGAGCAUGGAAUAAUGGAAUAGGACUUUGGUCCUAUUUUGUUGGUUUCUAGGACCGAAGUAAUGAUUAAGAGGGACAAUUGGGGGCAUCCGUAUUUCGUUGUCAGAGGUGAAAUUCUUGGAUUUACGAAAGACGAACAACUGCGAAAGCACUUGCCAAGAGUGUUUUCAUUAAUCAAGAACGAAAGUAGG
rnacentral:rRNA from 1 species